rnacentral:snRNA from 1 species
AUGCAGCCCCAAUCGGGCGGU